rnacentral:rRNA from 1 species
CCUACGGGAGGCAGCAGUGAGGAAUAUUGGUCAAUGGGCUUACGCCUGAACCAGCCAAGUCGCGUGAGGGAAGACUGCCCUAUGGGUUGUAAACCUCUUUUGUCAGGGAGCAAUUGGCGCUACGUGUAGCGUUAUCGAGAGUACCUGAAGAAAAAGCAUCGGCUAACUCCGUGCCAGCAGCCGCGGUAAUACGGAGGAUGCGAGCGUUAUCCGGAUCUUUUGGGUUUAAAGGGUGCGCAGGCGGAGGUGCAAGUCAGCGGUCAAAUUGCGGGGCUCAACCCCGUACUGCCGUUGAAACUGCGUGCCUUGAGUGCGCGAGAGGUAUGCGGAAUGCGUGGUGUAGCGGUGAAAUGCAUAGAUAUCACGCAGAACUACGAUUGCGAAGGCAGCAUACCGGCGCGCAACUGACGCUCAUGCACGAAAGCGUGGGUAUCGAACAGGAUUAGAUACCCUAGUAGUC